rnacentral:rRNA from 1 species
GAUGAACGCUAGCGGCAGGCUUAAUACAUGCAAGUCGAGGGGCAGCGCAGUGUAGCAAUACAUGGGCGGCGACCGGCAAACGGGUGAGGAAUACAUACGCAACUUUCCUUUAAGCGGGGAAUAGCCCAGGGAAACUUGGAUUAAUACCCCAUAGUAUGGUGAGGAGGCAUCUCUUUAUCAUUAAAGAUUUAUCACUUAAAGAUGGGCGUAUGGCUGAUUAGGUAGUUGGCGGGGUAACGGCCCACCAAGCCUUCGAUCAGUAGCUGAUGUGAGAGCAUGAUCAGCCACACGGGCACUGAGACACGGGCCCGACUCCUACGGGAGGCAGCAGUAAGGAAUAUUGGUCAAUGGACGCAAGUCUGAACCAGCCAUGCCGCGUGGAGGAUGAAGGUCCUCUGGAUUGUAAACUUCUUUUAUCUGAGACGAAACCUACUUUUUCUAAGGUAGCUGACGGUACCAGAUGAAUAAGCACCGGCUAACUCCGUG